AGGAUGGUGGUCAUAUUACAACCUGACUGAUAGAAUUCAGUCUACACCAAUCAUAGGACUAGAUGCAUCACACUAGUUACUAGUGUCAAAUCAAAAUAUAGACUUUUAUGUUUGUAUCCUUUAACCGGGUGUCGGGAGCGGAGCAUCUUUACUUUGAACCAAUUUGAAUGCUUAAGACAGGCCUUUGUGCCUAGAAAUUUUUGCAUGAAAUAAUGAAAUAGGACUUCGGUUCUAUUUUGUUGGUUUCCGGAUCCGAAGUUAAGGUUAAGAGGGAGAGACGGGGGCAUUUGUAUGGCGGUGUUAGAGGUGAAAUUCUGGGAUCAUCGCCAGGCAAACUACAGCGAAAGCAUUCGUCAAGGAUGUUUUCAUUGAUCAGGAGCGAAAGUCAGAGUUUCGAAGUCGAUCAGAUACCGUCGUAUUUCUGACCAUAAACGAUGCCAAGUGACGAUCCACGAUGGUCCUAUAGAUGACAUUGCAGGCAGUUCCCGGGAAACCUUUAAGUCUUUGGGCU
rnacentral:ncRNA from 1 species